GAUGAACGCUAGCGGCAGGCCUAACACAUGCAAGUCGAGGGGUAGAGGAAGCUUGCUUCCUUGAGACCGGCGCACGGGUGCGUAACGCGUAUGCAAUCUACCUUAUACAGAGGGAUAGCCCAGAGAAAUUUGGAUUAAUACCUCAUAGUAUUAUGAAAUCGCAUGGUUUUAUAAUUAAAGUUCCAACGGUAUAAGAUGAGCAUGCGUCCCAUUAGUUAGUUGGCAAGGUAACGGCUUACCAAGACAAUGAUGGGUAGGGGUCCUGAGAGGGAGAUCCCCCACACUGGUACUGAGACACGGACCAGACUCGUGCGGGAGGCAGCAGUGAGGAAUAUUGGUCAAUGGACGCAAGUCUGAACCAGCCAUGCCGCGUGCAGGAUGACGGUCCUAUGGAUUGUAAACUGCUUUUAUACAGGAAGAAACACUCCCUCGUGAGGGAACUUGACGGUACUGUAGGAAUAAGGAUCGGCUAACUCCGUGCCAGCCGCCGCGGUAACAC
rnacentral:rRNA from 1 species